rnacentral:rRNA from 1 species
AGCGAACGUUUGCGGCGGGCCUAACACAUGCAAGUCGAACGCACUAGCAAUAGUGAGUGGCGCACGGGUGCGUAACACGUGGGUAAUCAACCCUUCAGCUUGGGAUAACGACUUGAAAGGGUCGCUAAUACCGGAUACGGCGCGGGAGGCUUCGGCUUCUCACGAGAAAGCCUCGCAAGGGGCACUGAAGGACGAGCCUGCGGCCCAUCAGCUAGUUGGUGAGGUAAGAGCUCACCAAGGCGAAGACGGGUAGCUGGUCUGAGAGGAUGAUCAGCCACACUGGAACUGAGACACGGUCCAGACUCCUACGGGAGGCAGCAGUGGGGAAUAUUGCGCAAUGGGCGAAAGCCUGACGCAGCCACGCCGCGUGAGCGAUGAAGGCCUCGGGUCGUAAAGACUCUGUGGGGAGGAGAC